AAUCAGUUAUGGUUCCUUAGAUCGUUCAUACUACAUGGAUAACUGUGGUAAUUCUAGAGCUAAUACAUGCAAAAAGCUCCGACCGUAUGGGAAGAGCGCUUUUAUUAGACCAAAACCAAUGGGGUCGCAAGACUCCUUUGUAUGGUGACUCUGGAUAACUUUGUGCUGAUCGCAUGGCCUAGAGCCGGCGACGUAUCUUUCAAGUGUCUGCCCUAUCAACUUUCGAUGGUAAGCGAUUUGCCUACCAUGGUUGUAACGGGUAACGGGGAAUCAGGGUUCGAUUCCGGAGAGGGAGCAUGAGAAAUGGCUACCACAUCUACGGAAGGCAGCAGGCGCGCAAAUUACCCACUCCUAGAACGGGGAGGUAGUGACGAAAAAUAACAAUACCGGACUCAAUGAGGCUCGGUAAUUGAAAUGAGUACAGUUUAAAACCCUUAACGAGGAUCUAUUGGAGGGCAAGUCUGGUGCCAGCAGCCGCGGUAAUUCCAGCUCCAAUAGCGUAUAUUAAAGUUGUUGCAGUUAAAAAGCUCGUAGUUGGAUCUCGGGUACUAGCAUGUGGUACGCUUAAUUGCUGUUACUACAUGUCUGGUCCUAAUCAACCGGUUGGCCGUUGAUGUCCUUUAUUGGGUGUUUUCGGUAGCCGGUACGUUUACUUUGAGAAAAUUAGAGUGCUUAAAGCAGGCCUUACGCCUGAAUAAUGUUGCAUGGAAUAAUAGAAUAGGACCUCGGUUCUAUUUUGUUGGUUUUGUAGAGCAUUGAGGUAAUGAUUAAUAGGGACAGACGGGGGCAUUCGUAUUGCGGUGUUAGAGGUGAAAU
rnacentral:rRNA from 1 species